AACGUAGGUGGCGAGCGUUAUCCGGAUUUACUGGGCGUAAAGCGUGUGCAGGCGGCUUAUCAAGUGGUGUAUGAAAUAUCCAGCUCAACCUGGAGGGGUUAUGCCAGACUGGUAGGCUAGAGUGCGAGAGAGGGGCGUGGAAUUCCGGGGUGUAGUCGGUGAAAUGCGUAGAGAUCCGGAGGAACCCCAGAGGCGAAGGCGGCGCCCUGGCUCGACACUGACGCUCAGACACGACAGCAUGGGGAGCGAACGGG
rnacentral:rRNA from 1 species